GAGUUUGAUCCUGGCUCAGGAUUAACGCUGGCGGCAUGCCUAAUACAUGCGAGUCGAACGGAGUAGCAAUACUUAGUGGCGAACGGGUGAGUAACACGUAUCUAAUCUACCAUUUAGUGGGGAAUAACUGUUGGAAACGACAGCUAAUACCGCAUAAUAUUGCUGGAUAAUUUCCAGUAAUGAAAGGAGCUUUCAAGCUCCGCUGAUUGAUGAGGAUGCGGCGCAUUAGCUAGUUGGUAGGGUAAUGGCCUACCAAGGCAAUGAUGCGUAGCCGAUCUGAGAGGAUGAACGGCCACAUUGGGACUGAGACACGGCCCAAACUUCUACGGAAGGCAGCAGUAGGGAAUUUUUCACAAUGGGCGAAAGCCUGAUGGAGCAAUGCCGCGUGACUGAUGAAGGUCUUCGGAUUGUAAAGGUCUGUUGUAAGGGAAGAAAUGGUAAAACAGGAAAUGGUUUUAUCUAUGACGGUACCUUACCAGAAAGCCACGGCUAACUAUGUGCCAGCAGCCGCGGUAAUACAUAGGUGGCAAGCGUUAUCCGGAUUUAUUGGGCGUAAAGGGUGCGUAG
rnacentral:rRNA from 1 species